rnacentral:rRNA from 1 species
GUUGGGAAUCUUGCACAAUGGGGGAAACCCUGAUGCAGCGACGCCGCGUGGAGGAUGACGGAUCUAGGUCUGUAAACUCCUUUUUCAUGGAAAGACUUAGGACGGUACCAUGAGAAUAAGGACCGGCUAACUACGUGCCAGCAGCCGCGGUAAGACGUAGGGUCCAAGCGUUGUCCGGAUUUACUGGGCGUAAAGAGCGCGUAGGCGGCUCGUUAAGUGUGGUGUGAAAUCUCCAGGGCUCAACCCGGAAACUGCACCGCAUACUGGCGAGCUUGAGGAAUGCAGAGGUAACUGGAAUUCCUGGUGUAGCGGUGAAAUGCGUUGAUAUCAGGAGGAACACCCAUGGCGAAGGCAGGUUACUGGGCAUUAUCUGACGCUGAGGCGCGAAAGCGUGGGUAGCAAACAGGAUUAGAAACCCGAGUAGUCC